rnacentral:rRNA from 1 species
CCUCUAGAGGCUGCUGCUCACCAGCUUGGUGAGGAAGUUCGGGAGGGCCCAGGAGUUCGCGGGGGUGGCCUCGGGAGUCGGCGGGCGCGCCGGAGGGGGAGGGUAGCUAAGCAAGGCGAUGCUGGGAUUCAGAAGGAGGCGGCAGCCGCGGUCGUUGCCGCGGCGGCAGCAGGAGAGGCUGCUGCUGCUGCUGCUGAAGCUGGACCCCUUUUCGCGGUUCCGCGCGGCGCGGCUCUCAUCGAGCGCGCACCAGUUCGCAGGGGUCGCGUUUUCGGGCGGAUCCGCCCGGUGCGGCAGGUGGGUCAGGAGGGCCGUGUUGGGAUUUGGGAGGUUCCGGCGGUAGGAGCGCCGCGAGAGGCUGCUGCUGAAGCAGGGGCUUCUGCUGAACCUGGGACUUCUGCUGCUAAAGCUGGAGGGGCGAAGCUCCUCUAGCGCCGGCGCGGGAAGGUGACCAGCUGCCGACCGUUGUCGGUAGCUGGAGAGGCUCCUUCUCCUUCUAAACCUGGAGCGUAAACUCCUGAGGCUGUAGCGGCUACUACUGAGACUGGAGCGUCUACUACUAAGGCUGGUGGGACGAGGCUCCAGUAGUGCCGGCGCGGCGUGGUGACCAGCGGCUAAGCACUAGCUCCUGCUACUACUGUCACUACCGAGACACCGACGACGACACCACCUCCAUCCUCUACUUCUUCUCCUACUACCCCACUUGACCAGCCUCAACCUCUUGCUCCUACUACUUCUACCCCUGAUGUUACCCGUCUCAUCACACUUCCGUCUCCUCCACCUUCCCCUACACCACCCCUUCCGUAACGCGUCCACGAGUGCCUAAAGCCAACUAGACUCCGUCCUCAACAUACCAAGAAGUCGUGCCUUAACGCUUUCAAUACGACUCUGUCUACGGAGGUGGCAGGCCUAACAGUGAGUCCUUCUACACCUACGGCGUACGUGUUCGCUCCUGUACCUUAAGUUGGGCCACGACUUUGGUAUGGUCGAACACCCCCAGUUAAAGGAAGAUGACAACGUAGUCUUUCCGUAGCCGCCUCGUUAAAACCGACUACUUUACCCAGAGCCGUUCUGUCAGGUCCGACACUGAAUGGAAUUAGAGAACGUUGUAGAUAUACUACUGGGCCCAGGCGUGGACUAUCAAACGGGUCGAAGUCACAACCUUUUAACCCUUUCCCUUGAAUUCUUCACCACAGGAAGCAAAAGCUAGUAGUACAAAGUACCACGACCUUCCUGACGGAAGAGUUUCCUCAAUUCAAGGAAUCCGUUUCGUCCUACAGGUCGAGGUAAAUUACAGGAUGAACAACCGAUGAGCGAGAAGCUUUCUGCCUCACGAGUUGUUUUCCUACUGGCGUUCCGUGAGUUUUCUACCUUUACCUCAACACAUAACUACCUGCUUCGUGUGCACGACUUUCUAUUCCCGUCGAAGGCUACCUUUUUGGAAUACCGACAACGUGUUGUACGAGCAGUCGCCGAUUACGACUGCCCUUGAGGUGAAGUUUUACUAAACGUACUCGAUACCAGUAACAACCUCAAGUACUACGGACUAUAUAAACGGUGUCCUCUUCAACUAGAGUUCUUCGAUAACUUAAGUCUUCUGGUACUCAAUUAAAGUGCAUAUUUCAGGUAGAAUCCCGGUAAGUAGGAAUCCGCGAACUUCAGCCUACAAUACGUCGUUGAACAGGGCUUCUGCGUUGUACAAUUGAAACAGAGGUACCCUAGUCUCGUCGAAUUUCGAAUAUUACCUCGGCGUUUACUCAUGGCACGGUAAACACUCCGAGCAUGACGUUUUAGAAGACCGGUUAUAGGAGUUUUACAACAACCUAAUUAAGGUUUCGCAGUUUAUAGUUUGAUAAAAUACGUCAACGCAUUCUAACGGUUAGUGGGAAACGAAUAUUCCGCGUAAAUGUCGCUGUUUCUACAACUUGCUUAGCGUUCCAACUGCAUAGGAUUUCCGCGUAAACCGAAACUUACAAGGAACCUGUCUCGUUAGGUUCGCGAUUUCUUGAUGUUACUAAAACGAUAGGUGGUUAACAACUAAUGUGUACCACUACGACCAUGUUUCCCACGGGAUUUUCUGCUCGUACAUAAACGUAGCCGCUUUACAGUCCGGAAUCGUCUCGAAGAUGGAAGAAAUCGUUUAUUACCAGUGGCUCAAGAAUAUAAGUCGGUCACCUGGUGUUACGAACUAUAGGAACUUACCCGUGACCUUCAUUAUCCUUAAUGUAUGUCCGCAGAGCUACCUCCGUGGGGUCAUUAUCUUUCCGUCUGAUAUCACCUGUGAAAGUUGUUACUAGAAAGCUAUUUACGUACAAACGAAAGUUGAUCUCGACCUCCAGUCCCCGACUUAGAUUAUCCUCGACUAUGUCAGUAUUAUGUACUGUACCUAAAAUUGGGAGUCUACCUGGCCGUUCGACUUCUAGCAACGGUAGCGUAACCUGUCGUCUUUGGACAGUGAUAGAUAUCCAAUCACUGUUUCCUUAGUCAACUACUUUCGUAUAUGCGUUAACGUUCCUCUUUCGAUCAUGACCUACGACGACAAGAAGUCAGACCUCGUCUGAAUCUACUAUCUUGACUACAUGGACUCGUCUGUUACCCUCUCUAAGACCGUAGAGAAGAAGACCACACUCUUUGAAGUACCUCACCGAAGGUUCCAUGACCAAGGUGUAAAGGUGGACGCCUCUACAGGAACCGACCCUAUUAAUAAACGAAGUAAGUUCGUGGUGAGUCUAAAUAGGUACCCCAGAAUUCGAAGAAACGUACUACUACGACCACGGAAAUACGUAAUUUAGAGAGUCAAACAACCGUAGAUGUAAUAGAUGAUAAUCCUAGAUGACUACUAGAAGACGUUGGACGACCUAUCGGCGUGACGAAGAGAAGCGACACGAACUAGUCCCACUGUAUGACAUAUUCAAAUCGUAUCGAGCUUCAUCCCACAUCUAAAGAUCUUUCACGACUUUGGUCUUCAGAGUCUUGUCUGUAGGAUAAAAACAUGACCUACUUUACAACCUUCAUGUAGGACCAUAAUUACUUUACCUCUUAUCGCCUCCAACUUUGACAUACCAUCUCUAUAAUAAUCCCAAAAUUGUACAACAGGUGAGAACUCUAAAUUCGAUAUGUUCAUAGGUUGAGAUAUAGCCAAUGCUUUCACUUAGACG